rnacentral:lncRNA from 1 species
UUUUUUUCCAUUUCAUUUUUUCCGUCCCGUCCGCUGACCGUACGCUGACCGUACCCGCGUCUCUCCGACGACGACCGCAGUGUACACCGCGGAGGUCGAGAGCGCGCUGCACGCGCACCCGUCCGUCGCGCAGGCGGCGGUCUUCGGCACGCCGCACCCGGUCAUGGGUGAAAUCGUCAACGCGGUCGUCACGCUGCGACCUGCGGCGCGGGAGCCCGGCGGCGACGGCGACGGCGACGGCGACGUGAACGAUGACGCGCGUCCGAGGGAUCCCAAAGGGGACAUUCUCGCGCACUGCCGCCGCACCCUCAGCGGGUAUAAAGUCCCCGCGAGCGUCAAGGUCGUCCACGAGCUCCCCACGAACGCGAGCGGUAAAAUUUUGAAGCGGAAGCUCCGAGAGCAGUGCAUCGGGGGCACGCUCGUGACGCGCACGGCCUCCGCGCCCGCGAGCGUCGGCGUCGACGGGACGACGACGAACGCGUCAUCAGCGACGCGGCGCGCGUUCACGCGGCAGUUUACCCGCGCGAUCGAGCCGGAGGUUUUCGAACCUGAGCCGCUGAUCAUCGAUCGCGCGCACGACGGCGCGUCGUCGUGGGCGUUAAUUCUGGACGACGACUCCGCGGAGGCUGAGGACCCCGCGUUCGCCGCGGAAGUCGUCGACGAAAUACUCGCGUCCAAUCCCGACGCUACUAGGACGCUCUUCCUGUGGUCGCCGUCGCCGUCGCGAUCGCUCCUUUCGAUGCUGACCGCGGCGGCGGCGGGAUCGGUUUCGAGGGACGUGCGCGUCGUGGUUUCGCUGAUCGACGCUCGCGAUGAAGCGCAGGUCGCGGCCGCGAGCGUGCUGGCGUGGACGACGUCGGAGGACGCCGAGCGCGCGGUCGACGUCGCCGUGCGCGUCGGCGACGGACUGUCGGACACGUUUUCCGACAUCAUGUCCGAAACUUUCUCCGACACCAUGCUGACGCCGCGCGGCGUCGUCCGCGUCUCGCGAGCGAGCCGUCGAGACGAGCGGCGACUCGGGCCGCCGUGUGAGCGUCCACCCUCGCCGCCGCCGCCGCCGCCGCCGCCGCGACCGACCGCCGUCGAUUUCGUCGCCGCCGUCCGCGCCGCCGUCGUCGACGCCGCGAACGUCCCCGACCUCGCGAACGACCAACCUCUGAUGCAAGCCGGGCUCGCGUCCAACGGCGCGGUCGCCGUGCACGCGGCGUUAGAGACCGCGUUCAACGUGACGCUUCCCGCGACGUUGGUGUUCGAUUACCCGACCGUCGACGCAAUCGCGGCGCACAUGGAAGCCGCGGCGACGGCGAGCGAAGAAGAAGAAGAACACGGCGCAAACGCGACUUCUCACAGCGCCGCCGCCGUGCGCGCGUUCGCGACGACGGCCGUGCACGACGCGGUGCGAGAGGUUCUAGAGCUCCCGCGCGCCGCGGACGUCCCCGAAGACGACGCGCCGUUGAUGCAACGCGGGCUGACGUCCUCCGCGGCGGUGCGGCUGCGCGACCUCCUCGACGACGCGCUCGCACUGGUUCCCAUACGACCGCGUUCGCGUGGUGAACGCCGAUCCUUAAGGACUUUUGCCGAUCGCCCGCGCGACCUGGCACCCCCCCGCGCGCGAGAGCACCUGCCGAGCACGCUCGCGUUCGAUCAUCCCACGAUCGGCGCGCUCGUCGCGUUCGCGAUCAGCGCGAUGGCGGUCGUCGGCGAAGAAGAGGACGACGACGCGGCGAGGGCGGCG